UACGUAGGAUGCGAGCGUUGUCCGGAAUUAUUGGGCGUAAAGAGCUCGUAGGCGGUGUGUCGCGUCGGUCGUGAAAACUUGGGGCUUAACCCUGAGCUUGCGGUCGAUACGGGCAUCACUGGAGUUCGGCAGGGGAGACUGGAAUUCCUGGUGUAGCGGUGAAAUGCGCAGAUAUCAGGAGGAACACCGGUGGCGAAGGCGGGUCUCUGGGCCGAUACUGACGCUGAGGAGCGAAAGCGUGGGGAGCGAACAGG
rnacentral:rRNA from 1 species